rnacentral:tRNA from 1 species
GGUGCGUAGGUGGGAGCUACUUCCCUCUCCAACAGGGGUAACGCGGGUUCGAAUCCCGCCGGGA